CACUUCCUCCAUUUGCGAUGUCAUUGCAAAGAUUGCGUAUUUAAAUGUUUGACGUGAAAAUAAUAAAAAAUUUUCGUUCUUCAAAAGAACGUACUCCUUAGUCGAAGAAAAGUCUUUUUUAUCAAAAUUCAUUUCGUUAAAACAGAAACAGCAUGAUUUAGAAAUAUUUAAGGAAAUUCGAACACUUCUGAGCGUAGAAAAGUAUUCUUCUAAAAAUAUUAAAUUGGUUUAAAGCAGACUCAUCCGUGAUAAUAUUUCAAGCAAAGUAUGUGAAAAUAUUUCAAGCAAAGUAUGUGAAAAUAUUUCAAGCAAAGUAUGUGAAAAUAUUUCAAGCAAAGUAUGUGAAAAUAUUUCAAGCAAAGUAUGUGAAAAUAUUUCAAGCAAAGUAUGUGAAAAUAUUUCAAGCAAAGUAUGUGAAAAUAUUUCAAGCAAAGUAUGUGAAAAUAUUUCUAAAGAUCAUUUAACAACAAUUCAAAAAGAUGAUGACCAAGAAAUCCUAAAUAAGGACAAAAAUAAGUUUUUAAUAAAAAAUCAAUCAAAGGUAGUUUGGGGGUAAUUCCAGUGAAUGGCUAAAAGAAUUAUACAUUGCCAAAGAUAUUCAGACUGUUGAGGUUUGAGCAUUACACUGCGUAAAGGUUUUGAUAAAGAACACCUACACCAAAAACAAUAUAAUUGGAGCUGCAUUUGGUUAUAUUAUGCAGAAGUACGGCAAUGAAGAAAUAGUGGUAAUAAAAAAACAUCUCUCAUGCUUGCUGCUUGCUGUGCUUGCAAAAGAAAAACAAUUUGGUUGAAGUUUUGCUAAAAAAUAAAGCAGACCUAAUGCUUUGUGAUGCCAAUUUUAAAAUCGCAAUCAAUUAUUGUAAAGUAAAUACAUAGCAAGUUUCUAUUUGUUACAUUUCACUUUUUUUUUUUAAAUCAUUUACAAUUUUGUAAUUUCAUGAUUUCACUUAAUACUAAUCUACCUACUACAAUACUACUACUACACCACUACUACAACACCACUACUACAACACCACUACUA